GGGUGGUUGGUCAGGGUGGAUGGUCAGGGUGGGUGGUCAGGGUGGAUGGUCAGGGUGGAUGGUGAGGGUGUUUGGUCAGGGUGGGUGGUCAGGGUGGAUGGUCAGGGUGGGUGGUCAGGGUGGAUGGGUAGGGUGGUCAGGGUGGAUGGUCAGGAUGGAUGGUCAGGGUGGUUGGUCAGGGUGGGUGGUCAGGGUGGAUAGGGUGGAUCAGGGUGGAUGGUCAGGGUGGUUGGUCAGGGUGGGUGGUCAGGGUGGAUGGGUAGGGUGGUCAGGGUGGAUGGUCAGGGUGGUUGAUCAGGGUGGAUGGUCAGGGUGGUCAGGGUGGAUGGUCAGGGUGGGUGGUCAGGGUGGAUGGAUGGUCAGGGUGGUUGGUCAGGGUGGAUGGUCAGGGUGGUUGGUCAGGAUGGUCAUGGUGGAUGGUCAGGGGAUGGACAGGGUGGAUGGUCAGGGGUGGUGGUCAGGAUCAGGGUGGAUGGUCAGGGUGGUUGGUCAGGGUGGGUGGUCAGGGGGUGGGUGGAUGGUCAGGGUGGUUGGUCAGGGUGGGUGGUCAGGGUGGGUGGUCAGGGUGGAUGGGCAGGGUCAGGGUGGAUGGUCAGGGUGGUUGGUCAGGGUGGGUGGU
ensembl:lncRNA